GGAGAGAUGACCGAGAGGCCGAAGGUGCCUGAUUCGAAAUCAGGUGUGCCCGUGAGGGUACCGCGGGUUCGAAUCCCGCUCUCUCCGCCA
rnacentral:tRNA from 1 species